UAUAAAGCUGAGAAGAGAAGAGUAAAUAAGGACUUUUUCUACAGAGAGCUAGGUUAGGUGAAAGCUAGCGUCAAAGAAAUUAUUGAAGAUGGCCUCGGAGCUUUUUUAUCUGAAUAAUAGAGAGUUCUAUUUUUAAGAUAAAACGGUUAGACACGUUAUAGUCUGCUAAGAUAUCU
rnacentral:sRNA from 1 species